UGAUGACGUCAGGUACGCGCUUUAAUCGGGCGCGCUUUAGUGGACCGCGGUUUUGACGGGUCACGGAUAAAAGGAGUUCAGGUGCUUCUUAGGGAUUUAGGCUUUUAGACAAAGAAGUGGAGUAUCAGCCUGUGAAACCUAAAAGCUACUUUUGUUUUUCAAGUCUUUAAAAAUCACAGAUUGCUGUCUUCUUCUGUCCAAUGAGAUGACUUAGCAUGCAUUUUGAUGGUGAUGGUGCAACUACUAUUGAGCAUCCUUGCAAUUUUGCUCAUUAAGACUCCUGUUUUGCAAUCACCAGCAAAAUGCAUUCUAAUCUGGGAGGCAACAAUCUGUUAGAGAUUUUAUAGUCCAAAGGAGUAAAGUUUUGCAGUCCUGACCACCUUAAUUUGCAACUAUUGCCUGGGAAAAGCUGCCUAGCUCCUCUUACUGAGAAAGCUAUCUCUAUGAAUUCAGUCUUUCCUGUUACGUGAAGUGUAUAUCAAUG